rnacentral:rRNA from 1 species
GACGAACGCUGGCGGCGUGCUUAACACAUGCAAGUCGAACGGAAAGGCCCUGCUUUUGUGGGGUGCUCGAGUGGCGAACGGGUGAGUAACACGUGAGUAACCUGCCCUUGACUUUGGGAUAACUUCAGGAAACUGGGGCUAAUACCGGAUAGGAGCUCCUGCUGCAUGGUGGGGGUUGGAAAGUUUCGGCGGUUGGGGAUGGACUCGCGGCUUAUCAGCUUGUUGGUGGGGUAGUGGCUUACCAAGGCUUUGACGGGUAGCCGGCCUGAGAGGGUGACCGGCCACAUUGGGACUGCGAUACGGACCAGACUCCUACGGGAGGCAGCAGUGGGGAAUAUUGCACAAUGGGCGGAAGCCUGAUGAAGAAACGCCGCGUGCGGGAUGACGGCCUUCGGGUUGUAAACCGCUUUCGCCUGUGACGAAGCGUGAGUGACGGUAAUGGGUAAAGAAGCACCGGCUAACUACGUG